UCCACAUGUAAGAAACCAAGAUCUCCUACCAACAGCCAGCACCAACUUGGGAGCCAUGAAGAAGAGAAAGACAGUAAAAGGCUUGAGGAGUUAACAAUUGCCAAAUGCUAUGGUUUGAAUGUUGUCCCUUCCAAAACUCAUGCUAAAAUUUAAUUGCCGUUGUACCAUACUAAAAGCAGAAUCCCCUCACAGACUUCCAAAAGGACAAGUUACCACCUGAGUAUUAUAACAUCAAGAAAAAUGGCAUGGAAUAAAAGAAGACGAACUUUGUAGCCACACUGACUUGCAUUUAGAUCCAGCUAUGGGCUGGCUUGCAAGAGGACUUGGAAUGCACCACGUUAACUGUUCUGCGACUCUACUUCCUCGAGGUAAAAUGGAGGUAA